rnacentral:lncRNA from 1 species
UUGUUUAGGUAGUGUAGUAAUUCACCCUUGAUUUUUCUUUUGACCAUGGUUCGUUUCCAAGGGCUUUUAUUGAACCAGGUUAGGUAGAUUUUUCUUUAAUAUAUUUUAGGACCCUUAAAACUAUGUUUGGCUAAGGUGGGGGAGGAAAAGAAUGCAUCUCAUGGUGUACAUACCUGCAAAUACUUAAAACGAACUUGAGGGUAUGACAUCUAGGUUCACAUGUAGACUCUUAAUCUUAUGCCUUAAUUUUGCACACCUUGUUACUUGAACACUCACAUGAAUGUGUUAACAAACUAAUUCAGAAUGAGUUACAUGCCAAGUGUGUGUGAGGUAAUACACGUAUUCUAUGCUUACAUGCGAUACCUAGAACUUGCCCCGUGUGUAUGUAAAGCGAAAUAGAAAUUGUGUUUAUCUUAGAGAUGAUUUAGACAUUUCUUUGUGUCACCUAUAUAUUCAUGAAUCCACAUGUACAUAUUACUAGUUAACCUCUUUGAGCCUAUAAUCCUUUUUCCUUUGGCAAUCACAUUGCAAGACUUACCCAUUUGUUUGAAUUAAUCAUUUAUUUGAACCAUUUCACCUCUCAUGAGCACUUGAAUUGUGAUGAACCUUGUAAAAGUUAAAGUGUGGGGUGAUCAGUUUGGCUUUUGAGUGGAACUAGUUGAAUAAGGAGAGAGGUAUACUAUUUUGAAAAAGGAAGUGAUACUUGAAAAAAUAAAUAAAAAUAGAAACUCCUCGAUAAGUGGUGACUCUUGAUAUAAGGGUGCUUAAAUAAGAAUGGGGUAGUUACAUUGCUGUGAAGGUGGAAUUUUCGGGUGAUAUAAAGAUGAGGUUUAAUUGAGAAAAUGUAUGUAUUAAAGUUCUUAAGGAGGUGUAGUCACUCUUAUAUCUAAAUGCAUACUACAUGUCCCUCAGCCUACAUUACAACCAAAUGAAGCCCUAUUGAUCUUAGAUUGAACAAUUCGAUUAGUAGAGUAUUACACUUAGGGCAAGCUUAUGGUGUAUCUGUGUGGCAUAUGAAUGUUCUUUGUUGAGAAUGAGUGAAUUCGUUCUAUCUACAGUUCCUUGUUGUUUGAUUUCAUGUGUGUGGAACUUCUCUCAAAAAUGUAAUGUGAGGGCAUUAAACUCAAGGGGAGAAAACAAGUCUUCACUUCUGUUUAGAGUACAUAGAGUAAGCAUGAGUGUAGCAUGACAUUAGAGUCUCAUCUGAGGUGUCGUUGUUGCACUGCUUAGGUUGUUCUUUCAUAAUAGCAGGUGUGACAUAAAAAGGGUAAUGCAUCAAACGAAUAGGGCUAGAAGUGUGGUUCAACUUUCUCGAGGACGAGCAAAGAUUUAAGUGUGGGAUGUUGAUAAUAGGUGAAUUAGACUAUAAUUAUACCCUAAAGAACCACAUAUUUGUAUAGCUUUAUGGCAAAAAGUGAUAACCAAAUAGUGAUUAGUGCUUUUCAUGUUUUGCAGGCUAUAUCCAAUAAAAGAAGUCGGUGGAACACUUUUGAGAUCAAUUACGGAAAAAAGGAAGCCAAUCAAACAAUACCCACGAAGUGCACCAAGUGAAGGGACAAAACCAAACUGAAUCUGGCAUGCCGCUGUCAGAGCGUAACCGCGGUAGGACAGCGACAGAAUAUUACCAAAGAUUCAGAGGACCAUUCUGGCUGCGGUCCUGAUGUAACCGCGGCGGGACUACGGCAAAACGCGGAACCUUCAGGGACCAAAGUGUCAAGUUGGAAAAAGUUGGUGAAAAACUCUUAGGAUGUAGAAAUUCGGCCACAUUAGGGCAAACUUGUUUUGGAGACACAAGUGUGAG